UUAACAGCGUUGAUCCAGACGAGUAGGUAGCUGGCGGACUUCAGAGAGCCGGGCAAGGUGUGAGCCGGUAGUUGCGCAGAUACUGAAUGGACUGGGGAGCUUCAGACCGAAAGCCGGAAGGCGAAUAGGCUCUGACGGAAAGGGCGCCGUUAGCUGGCCCAGGGUAUCGCCGUACCGUUGAGUACGAGCCGUAUCCGGCAAUGAGAUGGUUUCUAGCUAUCGCUUUUGAUAAAGAAACCGAACCAGGGUGGCACCGCGAGAUUUAAGGCUCUCGCCCCUAGU
rnacentral:ncRNA from 1 species